rnacentral:rRNA from 1 species
UAGGGAAUCUUCCACAAUGGACGCAAGUCUGAUGGAGCAACGCCGCGUGAGUGAGGAAGGUUUUCGGAUCGUAAAGCUCUGUUGUUGGUGAAGAAGGAUAGAGGCAGUAACUGGUCUUUAUUUGACGGUAAUCAACCAGAAAGUCACGGCUAACUACGUGCCAGCAGCCGCGGUAAUACGUAGGUGGCAAGCGUUGUCCGGAUUUAUUGGGCGUAAAGCGAGCGCAGGCGGAAUGAUAAGUCUGAUGUGAAAGCCCACGGCUCAACCGUGGAACUGCAUCGGAAACUGUCAUUCUUGAGUGUAGAAGAGGAGAGUGGAAUUCCAUGUGUAGCGGUGGAAUGCGUAGAUAUAUGGAAGAACACCAGUGGCGAAGGCGGCUCUCUGGUCUGCAACUGACGCUGAGGCUCGAAAGCAUGGGUAGCGAACAGG